rnacentral:rRNA from 1 species
GACGAACGCUGGCGGCGUGCCUAAUACAUGCAAGUUGAGCGCUGAAGGUUGGUACUUGUACCAUCUGGAUGAGCAGCGAACGGGUGAGUAACGCGUGGGGAAUCUGCCUUUGAGCGGGGGACAACAUUUGGAAACGAAUGCUAAUACCGCAUAAAAACUUUAAACACAUGAUUUAAGUUUGAAAGAUGCAAUUGCAUCAUUCAAUGAUGAUCCCGCGUUGUAUUAGCUAGUUGGUGAGGUAAAGGCUCACCAAGGCGAUGAUACAUAGCCGACCUGAGAGGGUGAUCGGCCACAUUGGGACUGAGACACGGCCCAAACUCCUACGGGAGGCAGCAGUAGGGAAUCUUCGGCAAUGGACGAAAGUCUGACCGAGCAACGCCGCGUGAGUGAAGAAGGUUUUCGGAUCGUAAAACUCUGUUGGUAGAGAAGAACGUUUGUGAGAGUGGAAAGCUCAUCAAGUGACGGUAACUACCCAGAAAGGGACGGCUAACUACGUG